rnacentral:rRNA from 1 species
UACGUAGGGUCCGAGCGUUGUCCGGAAUUAUUGGGCGUAAAGAGCUCGUAGGCGGUUUGUCGCGUCUGCUGUGAAAUCCCGAGGCUCAACCUCGGGUCUGCAGUGGGUACGGGCAGACUGGAGUGCGGUAGGGGAGAAUGGAAUUCCUGGUGUAGCGGUGGAAUGCGCAGAUAUCAGGAGGAACACCGACGGCGAAGGCAGUUCUCUGGGCCGUAACUGACGCUGAGGAGCGAAAGCGUGGGGAGCGAACAGG